rnacentral:rRNA from 1 species
UACGUAGGGUGCGAGCGUUGUCCGGAAUUAUUGGGCGUAAAGGGCUCGUAGGCGGCCAACUAAGUCAGACGUGAAAUCCCUCGGCUUAACCGGGGAACUGCAUCUGAUACUGGAUGGCUUGAGUUCGGGAGAGGGAUGCGGAAUUCCAGGUGUAGCGGUGAAAUGCGUAGAUAUCUGGAGGAACACCGGUGGCGAAGGCGGGUCUCUGGGCCGAUACUGACGCUGAGGAGCGAAAGCGUGGGGAGCGAACAGG